rnacentral:rRNA from 1 species
UACAGAGGUCCCAAGCGUUGUUCGGAUUCACUGGGCGUAAAGGGUGCGUAGGCGGUCGGGUAAGUCUGAUGUGAAAUCUCACAGCUUAACUGUGAAACUGCAUUGGAUACUAUCCGGCUCGAGGAAUGGAGGGGAGACUGGAAUACCUGGUGUAGCAGUGAAAUGCGUAGAUAUCAAGUGGAAUACCAGUGGCGAAGGCGAGUCUCUGGACAUUUCCUGACGCUGAGGCACGAAAGCCAGGGGAGCAAACGGG